UACGGAGGGCGCUAGCGUUGUUCGGAAUUACUGGGCGUAAAGCGCACGUAGGCGGCUUUUUAAGUCAGGGGUGAAAUCCCGGGGCUCAACCCCGGAACUGCCCUUGAAACUGGAGAGCUAGAAUCUUGGAGAGGCGAGUGGAAUUCCGAGUGUAGAGGUGAAAUUCGUAGAUAUUCGGAAGAACACCAGUGGCGAAGGCGGCUCUCUGGAACGCAACUGACGCUGAGACGCGAAAGCGUGGGGAGCAAACAGG
rnacentral:rRNA from 1 species